AACACUGUUAACCUGCGGUACCUGCGGAGGGAUCAUUACCGAGUGAGGGCCCUCCGGGUCCAACCUCCCACCCGUGUUUAACGAACCUUGUUGCUUCGGCGGGCCCGCCUCACGGCCGCCGGGGGGCACCCCGCCCCCGGGCCCGCGCCCGCCGAAGACACCUGUGAACGCUGUCUGAAGUUGCAGUCUGAGACACUAGCUCAAUCAGUUAAAACUUUUAACAACGGAUCUCAGAUCGGA
rnacentral:misc_RNA from 1 species